UACGGAGGGUGCGAGCGUUGUUCGGAAUCACUGGGCGUAAAGCGCGUGUAGGCGGCCUGCUAAGUCUGAUGUGAAAGCCCGAGGCUCACCCUCGGAAGUGCAUUGGAAACUGGCAGACUGGAGUCCCGGAGAGGAGGGUGGAAUUCCUGGUGUAGCGGUGAAAUGCGUAGAGAUCAUGAGGAAGACCAGUGGCGAAGGCGGGUCUCUGGACAGUUCCUGACACUGAGGCACGAAGGCCAGGGGAGCAAACGGG
rnacentral:rRNA from 1 species